rnacentral:rRNA from 1 species
GUGCCAGCCGCCGCGGUAAUACGGAGGGUGCAAGCGUUAUCCGGAUUCACUGGGUUUAAAGGGUGCGUAGGUGGACAUGUAAGUCAGUGGUGAAAUCCCCGAGCUUAACUUGGGAACUGCCGUUGAUACUAUAUGUCUUGAAUAUCGUGGAGGUAAGCGGAAUAUGUCAUGUAGCGGUGAAAUGCAUAGAUAUGACAUAGAACACCAAUAGCGAAGGCAGCUUGCUACACGAUCAUUGACACUGAGGCACGAAAGCGUGGGGAGCAAACAGGAUUAGAAACCCCUGUAGUCC